AGAACUGCAACCCUAGCUCAUUAAACGAAACACAUUACGGCGCUCUCGAUCUCCCUUCUCUCUCCUUCGUCUCCUCCGUGCUUCGACAACGCCGUUCUUUCCUCUCGGACUUCUCCUCUCUCCGCCGGUUACGAUUGCUCAGCAUUCGAUUGACGUUGGUGCGGAAGUGAUUGACGCCGAUCGGGUCUUGUGUUCAACCAGUCGACGAUCUCAGAUCUUGGAUCUUGGAUCUUCCUUCCUCACAUCUGCCGUCGACACUACUUGCAAAGCCUGCGAGUUUCUUUCAUCUCUCCACCUGCUCAGUGGUCACAUGGGAGCAAUUUUACAGAGGAAAGGUGAUCUUUGUGGAUCACUUCCUGUUUCUGUCCUUGCUGUUUAUGAUGCAAAGCUUGGUAGCUUGUGUAAAUAUAUUGAUCCUGAGGUGGAGUCAAAUCCUUACUGUACGCAUUCCUAGCUCAGAGGAAAAAUCUGUUGAAGGAGUGACUCUUCAUAUUUCCUCAAAAGAGUACUAUCUUAAUAUAAUUGCAAAUGAACUUGGUCUUGAAGAUGCCUCCAAUGUUUUUAUUUCAAGGUGAAAUGUAAAAUGCCUCCAAAAUCUUAUAUACUAGAUCCAUCUUCUAAAUUGCCAAAUGGAAAAGAUGGCCUUCAUCUUGAUGGACCUUCAAAUUUAAGGGCAAGUUACUUGUCUGGUCAUGAUAUAGCUGGUGAUGCAAUAUUAGCAUCUAUUGGAUAUACGUGGAAAUGUAGAGAUCUUUUCUAUGAAGAUGUAAUAGUUUAGUCAUAUUACAGGUCUCUUUAAAUUCACAUCAUUUAGUGAAUUGUUUAACUGAAGUGCCUGAAGUAAUUUUUUUCCCCUUCUUCUUCUCCUCCAACCCCCCUUAUUCACAUAAUGCAAUGGAUCUUUAUCUUGUAUAAGUUACUUAGUUUCUUUGGUUGUGGAGGGUGAGAAUAUUAAAAAAGUUAUUGAACUAACUUAGUCAAAUUUAUUUCAUAUUCUAAGCACGAUUUGAACUGUCCAUAUUUUCUUUGAUUCAAUUUUUAAUUAUCAUAGAUUCAUAUAAAAGCAUGCAAGAAAAUAUCCUGGCUUCUUGCUAUUCAGUGACAUCCGCAUUUAUAGCUCUUUUCUUUUACAUGGAGGAUCCCGUAAUAUUCAUUUAGAGACUUUUUAUGAACUUUAUUUUCUGCUUGUGCUAUUGUGCAAGCUAAAACUGUUAUUUUGUGUGCUUUAAUUUUCAUCAUACCAUUUUGGACUCUGUUGUGUAUCCUUGUUGCUAAUGGAUGUUUCUAUGUGAUUUCAGAUUUUAAAAAAUAAUAGUGAUGGAUCUGAGAAUGGGUCCUUGCUACAAAUUAUGAAUCGCACCCUUACUAUAUUUGGUUCCAGGCUUCUUAGGCAUUGGGUACAAGGUAUCUCACCCAUUAUGCAAUCAGACCAUGAUUUCUGCUCGUCUUCAUGCUGUAUCUGAAAUUGCAGAGUCCAUGAAACAAUAUCGAAAUAUUCAUUUUACAUGAUUUGCUUUCGUUCUCAUUUAAAUUUGCUUUUUUAUUUAAACUUAAAUUGAUCAUGUGGCUGUUUACUUAUGAUAUGAUUAAGGUUAGUUCAGGAAAUGGAUAUUAGUAGAAGCUUGUGUGAUACGGACUAUAAAUUUAGUUAUUUUUUAUUCUUAUGCAGGUUUGCUUACAUGAUGUGUACAUGAAAACAUAUUUCUAUUCCCAUUUUUCAGUAUUAGGUUUCAGUUUGCUCGACCUGUGGAGGUGAUGGUGAGCAACCUUUGAUUAUAGAAUAACGAAGAAGAGUUUUUGUGGGGUAAAUAUGAUUUGCGAUGGUGUUACUGUGGCAUAUACCAAGAGGAGCAUUUUAUGAAUAUGUUGAAGGAUGAUGUCAGUAUUGUGAAGGAGAUGGAGCAAUGACUGCAGGGCAAGCUUAUUGCUGAAGAGCAUCACAAAGCAGAUUGGAAGACAAACCCAUGAAGUUGCAGCAAAAGUAGAUGAGUAUGCAAGAGGCAUGAUCAGUGCUUCCGGAUCAACCUUUUUUGAGGAGCUUGG